rnacentral:rRNA from 1 species
GACGUAGGGGGCGAGCGUUGUCCGGAUUUAUUGGGCGUAAAGCGCGCGUAGGCGGCUGCGCAAGUCGGGUGUGAAACCCCGGGGCUCAACCCCGGAACUGCAUCCGAUACUGCGUGGCUAGAGGUAGGUAGGGGAGAUCGGAAUUCCUGGUGUAGCGGUGAAAUGCGUAGAGAUCGGGAAGAACAUCGGUGGCGAAGGCGCUCUACUGGACCACAACUGACACUCAGGGACGAAAGCUAGGGGAGCGAAUGGG